UUUAGUGGCGAACGGGUGAGUAACGCGUGAGGAACCUGCCUCAAAGAGGGGGACAACAGUUGGAAACGACUGCUAAUACCGCAUAAGCCCACGGGGCCGCAUGGCCCUGAGGGAAAAGGAGCAAUCCGCUUUGAGAUGGCCUCGCGUCCGAUUAGCUGGUUGGUGAGGUAACGGCCCACCAAGGCGACGAUCGGUAGCCGGACUGAGAGGUUGAACGGCCACAUUGGGACUGAGACACGGCCCAGACUCCUACGGGAGGCAGCAGUGGGGAAUAUUGCACAAUGGGGGAAACCCUGAUGCAGCGACGCCGCGUGGAGGAAGAAGGUCUUCGGAUUGUAAACUCCUGUUGUUGGGGAAAAGAAGGAUGGUACCCAACAAGGAAGUGACGGCUAACUACGUGCCAGCAGCCGCGGUAAAACGUAGGUCACGAGCGUUGUCCGGAAUUACUGGGUGUAAAGGGAGCGCAGGCGGGUAUGCAAGUUGGGAGUGAAAUACAUGGGCUCAACCCAUGAACUGCUCUCAAAACUGUGUAUCUUGAGUAGUGCAGAGGUAGGCGGAAUUCCCGGUGUAGCGGUGGAAUGCGUAGAUAUCGGGAGGAACACCAGUGGCGAAGGCGGCCUACUGGGCACCAACUGACGCUGAGGCUCGAAAGUGUGGGUAGCAAACAGGAUUAGAUACCCUGGUAGUCCACACCGUAAACGAUGAUUACUAGGUGUUGGAGGAUAGACCCCUUCAGUGCCGCAGUUAACACAAUAAGUAAUCCACCUGGGGAGUACGACCGCAAGGUUGAAACUCAAAGGAAUUGACGGGGGCCC
rnacentral:rRNA from 1 species